rnacentral:sRNA from 1 species
UACUACUUUCGACGAGUCGACCUCUUG